UACAGGGGGUGCAAACGUUGCUCGGAAUUAUUGGGCGUAAAGCGCGCGUAGGCGGUGACUCAAGUCGGAUGUGAAAGCCCUUGGCUUAACCGAGGAAGUGCAUCCGAAACUGAGUCGCUAGAGUACGAAAGAGGGUCGCGGAAUUCCCGGUGUAGAGGUGAAAUUCGUAGAUAUCGGGAGGAACACCGGUGGCGAAGGCGGCGACCUGGGUCGAUACUGACGCUGAGGCGCGAAAGCGUGGGGAGCAAACAGG
rnacentral:rRNA from 1 species